GCUAUUUUUUUGGACCCAACAUCCAAUAGGAAAAUUCAACUGCAGUAGCCACCGUUCAACCUGAAGAGGGCAGCACUCAGACGUUUUUACACCAUAUAUUGUAGUAUUGAAACACUUUAUAUCCAAAUGUCAAAUGUCAAUACUUACUAAAAUCAAUGAACAGCACUAAUAAAGCAUCAUUCUUACAGAUCAUUAACUAAAAAAAGUUGGUUUAGGGUUUAGUUACUCUUUAAGGAACGCCUUCAUAAAUUAAACUCCGUUCCUCGUUUUAGUUGCAGCCUUGACUUUCACGCUGCGGCUUCCUCAAAUCCAUUCCACUUGGAGUGACAUAUAAUUUUGGCUCAUAUUUAAACUCCAUUUCAUGUAUUCGUUACUUUCGCAUGCUGCACUUCUGAGACACAACGGUAAACAAAGUUUUAGGCUAUAAAAGCACUUGUUUAAUUAAAAGUAAAUGUAAGUAAAAUCUACUAAAGUAAAUGUUUUGGACCCUUACGUUACAUUUUUUUUUGCUCCUGACACGAAUGUUGGAAUGUUUAACUGACCUCUGCAUCAAAUGCCUUGUGUAACAUUAAAAUGUAUCGGUUUCCAAAAGACGAGGGACGACGGUGAGCAUCCAUCACCUCUUUGCGGAUUUGAAUGUGCUGCUGUAAAAGAUGAUGGGCAUUGAAGUCUUCAACCAGAUUUUUCCUAUCUUGACCGUGGAUGUCCAGGGAUACAGAGGGAAUGCUGUCUUUUCUAAUUCAACAAGAGGCAAAACAAUGUUAACAUCUAUCCAUCUGAAGAUUUACUUUCCCAUCAUCAGGGCUGAGGACAUAUAGGCACAGUCCUAUCAAGCCCGUACGCCACGGCACCUCGCAGGCCACCGUAGCUCAUCACAAUCUGGUCGAUGAGCUCGAUGGGAACCAGUCUGAACUUAUUCAAGAUCCAGGU